rnacentral:lncRNA from 1 species
GCCCCGAGGAACCCGAUCUGUGUUGGUUAUGGAGAACAAGGACCAUCCAAGCUGGGAAGCACUUCUUGUGUUGUUUUUGGAAGACAGGCAUUUUAUAUAUUGUGGCUCACUGAUGGCUCCCCUGGAGGGGCAGGAACUCUGGAGUGAUGCUUAGGGUUUAAACUGAAGACUCAGCUUGCAGCCGUACAACAGUCACUUCACUGUGUGAUCCACGACUAUGGUAAGAACUAUUUUGUAAAUCUACACAAUUUCUAUGCAAU